rnacentral:rRNA from 1 species
UACGUAGGGGGCUAGCGUUGUCCGGAAUCAUUGGGCGUAAAGAGCUCGUAGGCGGCCUGUUGCGUCUGCUGUGAAAGCCCGGGGCUUAACCCCGGGUCUGCAGUGGAUACGGGCAGGCUAGAGUUCGGCAGGGGAGACUGGAAUUCCUGGUGUAGCGGUGAAAUGCGCAGAUAUCGGGAGGAACACCAGUAGCGAAGGCGGCUCGCUGGGCGUUCUGACGCUGAGACGCGAAAGCG